CUGCAGCCAAUUAAGUCCACCAGAUCCCUUUCCUCGUGGGGUCUGGUAAUGACUGUGGAGAGCAGUCUCGGAUGUAGUGGACGUAGCCUGUUGCCUAUAUGCGUUUCCCCAAAAGCCCUGGCUAUAGUU